UACGUAGGCAGCAAGCGUUGUUCGGAAUUACUGGGCGUAAAGAGUGUGUAGGCGGUGCUCUAAGUUCGGUGUGAAAUCUCCCGGCUUAACUGGGAGGGUGCGCCGGAAACUGGAGUGCUUGAGCGCGGGAGAGGAAAGCGGAAUUCCUGGUGUAGCGGUGAAAUGCGUAGAUAUCAGGAGGAACACCUGUGGUGUAGACGGCUUCCUGGACCGUAGCUGACGCUGAGACACGAAAGCGUGGGUAGCAAACAGG
rnacentral:rRNA from 1 species